rnacentral:rRNA from 1 species
UACAGAGGGUGCGAGCGUUGUUCGGAAUUAUUGGGCGUAAAGGGCGCGUAGGCGGCGCCACAAGUCACUUGUGAAAACUCUGGGCUCAACUCAGAGCCUGCAAGCGAAACUGUGGUGCUGGAGUAUGGGAGAGGUGCGUGGAAUUCUUGGUGUAGCAGUGAAAUGCGUAGAUAUCAAGAGGAACACCAGUGGCGAAGGCGAGUCCCUGGACAACACCUGACACUGAGGCACGAAAGCUAGGGGAGCAAACAGG